rnacentral:rRNA from 1 species
UACGGAGGGAACUAGCGUUGUUCGGAUUUACUGGGCGUAAAGAGCGCGUAGGCGGUUUAUUAAGUUAGAAGUGAAAGCCCAGGGCUUAACCCUGGAACUGCUUCUAAAACUGAUAGACUAGAGUACGGGAGAGGAUAGUGGAAUUCCUAGUGUAGAGGUGAAAUUCUUAGAUAUUAGGAGGAACACCGGUGGCGAAAGCGACUAUCUGGAACGUUACUGACGCUGAGGCGCGAAAGCGUGGGGAGCAAACAGG